UGAUUGGACGGGAAACCGUCAUUAGAAAUUCAUGAGAAAAAUACUUGAUCAAAUAUUGACUAAAUACUGAUAUGUUUUGAUUUUAAAAAAACCUUUUGUUUUCUUGUUUUUGUUUUUAUAGUAGUUUAGUUUAGAGAAACUUUUAUUUUUGUAGACUUUUCAGGAAGUUGUUAGUGUAGCGUGCCGUUUAACUUGACCACGAUGAUCAGCUGUGAGUCUACGUCCUAUCAGCCAAUCAGAGUAGAGCUUUUCCUGCCGCGCUUCCGUUCCGAAGUUGAACAAACAGUCAAACAGGAAGAGCGAACGUGGAGCUGAGGGAGGCGAAGUUGAUGUGAGCCGUGACUUGGAGUUAUCCUCCGAGCAUGAAGAUAUUGUGGAGAAGAAAAGUUACCUAACGUCGGUGGUGUGGCGGUACUCUGGGAAUCUACGAAGUGACGUGGAACGAGGCCGGUGAACACGACGAGACAACAGACCUCCAGGAACGGUCUGUUCUGCGUAUUCACUGAACUCACCUGAUGACGUGACACGGCAGAGUGCGGAUCGAGUGGAGGACGCUGUCUGCUGCCCCCCUCAGUCUGGGCUCCGACCUCAGCAGUGAAACUCCGGCCUUGGUCAGUUUCCUGUCGGACACACGGUGGACACAGACACAGAUAACACAGCAGCAGUGGAGAGCUGUAGUAGGACAGAGACCAGAGUGUCGACGCCUGUGGAGCAGAAACAAACAAACGUUAAAACACGUCAAAGAAGAAACAGACUCUGUCUGUAGGACAGAACCACAGACACUGACCCAGCCCAGGAUGCCAUCUGUGUGUUUCUCUAGACCCCUCGGUUGGUAGUUC